rnacentral:rRNA from 1 species
GAUGAACGCUGGCGGCGUGCCUAAUACAUGCAAGUCGAGCGAACAGACGAGGAGCUUGCUCCUCUGACGUUAGCGGCGGACGGGUGAGUAACACGUGGAUAACCUACCUAUAAGACUGGGAUAACUUCGGGAAACCGGAGCUAAUACCGGAUAAUAUAUUGAACCGCAUGGUUCAAUAGUGAAAGACGGUUUUGCUGUCACUUAUAGAUGGAUCCGCGCCGCAUUAGCUAGUUGGGAAGGUAACGGCUUACCAAGGCAACGAUGCGUAGCCGACCUGAGAGGGGGAUCGGCCACCCUGGAACGGAGACACGGUCCAGACUCCUACGGGAGGCAGCAGUAGGGAAUCUUCCGCAAUGGGCGAAAGCCUGACGGAGCAACGCCGCGUGAGUGAUGAAGGUCUUCGGAUCGUAAAACUCUGUUAUUAGGGAAGAACAAAUGUGUAAGUAACUAUGCACGUCUUGACGGUACCUAAUCAGAAAGCCACGGCUAACUACGUG